rnacentral:tRNA from 1 species
UGCCGGGUCGUCUAAUGGUAGGACGCCAGGUUCUGGCCCUGGUAAUCUUGGUUCGAGUCCAAGCCCGGCAGCUA